rnacentral:lncRNA from 1 species
CUCUUGUCUAAGGGUGGCAAUGCUUGCUACAGGUCCAGGUGGCACAUGCAUAGGCCACACUGACUUGGGAUGGUUAGCAGUGUUCUGGGCCAGCUGCCAAGUCUGCCCUGGGGUUGUUCCCGAUUGGGCAAUUUAGGUCACAGGCCCAUCUCUGGAGCAAAGAGAUUGUGGCCUGGAUGGGGAGGAGGAAUCGGGGUUGGCCCCAGGCUCAGGAGUUGAGAGGAAGAGUGGAGAGUGGAAUGAACCCGGGCUGUCCCUAAAAAGAAAGGGAGGGACGGAUGUGGACAGGGGCCUCCAGCAAGCACAGUGGAGGGGACAGGAGAGAUUGACAAGCAAAGCCCUCGGGCGGCUCCUGCUGCUUGAGGAUGAGGAUGCAGAGUUCUCCCUGCUCGGCUUCAGGUGGACUUGCUGCCCUGGGAGGGGGCCUGGUGCUUCCAGAAGCAGGUCUGAGUCAGAGACAAUGGGGAAGGCCUGGGGCAGGNNNNNNNNNNNNNNNNNNNNNNNNNNNNNNNNNNNNNNNNUUCCCUUCCAUCCAAGACAAUGGGCUGCCAGCUAGGGUGGGAGACGAUGAAAGGCCGGGUGGGGUUGGUGGAAUCAUAGCCUCCAGGGCCUCUGGUCCCCCUCACCCUGUGCCUUCGUGGAAGGGAGGCCUGAGAGCUGUCCCCGGUCACCGGGGCCCCUGCCCUGACGCCAGGGGUCAGCCUCUCAAGGUUAGGGUCUGUCUCCUUCCCUCCCUCCCUUCAGCUUCGCACGUAAAGGGCACCCAGGUGCAGGCCCUGCCUGUGUCCUCCGAGGCGCUGUCGGCCUGCGGGCUUGUGGCGGGGCCUCCGGGUGAAGCUCGAGGAGUGGAGCUGGGCCGGAUCGAUCGCUUCGUUUGGAUGGAAAAGAACCUAAAAUUUCUCAAUAAGGUUUCUAUUGAUUAGACGGUGGAAUGACCAUAUUUGGGGCAUGCUCAUGGGUUAAAUUCACUUGUUUGUUUUUCCUUUUUUGGGGGGCCGCAUUCGAGAGACAUGGAAGGUCCCUGGGCCAGGGAUUGAAUCAGAGCCGCAUGGGCGACCUACGCCACAGCUGAGGUAACACGGGACCCUUAACCCACUGCAGCACAGCGGGAACUCCCUGCUGCACGUCUCUGAGCCACACUGUCUUCCUUGAGGAGGCGCUGCUGAGGGUGACGGAGACCCCCCUACUGGAGGUGCCACUGAGGUGUGGCAGGGAGGGGGCAUCCAUCCAUCUGUCCCCAGGCCUCGGACCCUGGUGCCUGAGAGACACGGAUGCUGCAAGACUCCAUCUCCAGCACCACCACUGCUGCGCUCAGACCCUGGGGCUCUGUCAGGAGUCUGCCCUGCACGGCUUUUAUCAAAACAUCCAAAACUAGGCCAGAGACAAGGCCAGGGAACCUGCAGCCCUCGGGCCACUCCAGGCCGCCUACCAGGUUCCGGCAGAGCUGCCGGGCGGGAAGUGGACCCCGCGGGCACUUUCGAGCCUCUGCACCCCAGCGUCCCUUCUGCUGCCGGUAUGGUGGGGUCUGAGGACAGUGGGAGGCAGAAGGGGCUGGGGCUGGGGGUGGCCUUGAUCUGGGCUGGCCCUGCUCAGGCUGGCCCUCCCAGCCCCCCGCCGGUAUCAGAGUUCUUCCCCCGGAAACAGAAACUGCUUUCUGAGCACAUCCUCUGGGCCUGGCUCUGGCCUCCUGACCCUCAGGAUGGGGGGCUCCCAGGCAGCCCCCCAGCGGGCUGACUCAUCCUCCUACGCGCUGCGCCUCCUUCUCCAUCUCAGCCCCGGGCUUGCCCCUCCUACCCGCCUUCCCCCAGGCGGCAGUGUCCCCAGGAGCGCAUCACACUCCCCUUUGAACCUUCCCCGGCUUCCCUGAGCACAUCCUGCAGCACCAGCCUCCCCCAGGGCUUGUCCCUCCCCUGCGCCCCAGAUCAACCCCCGGCUGGUCCCUGAACCCUUCCUCCCCUGCUGGCUCCUGUGGACACACACCUUUUUUCUUCCUUUCUUCUUUUAUUUUUGGCCGCGCUGCGGCAUCCGGAAGUUCCUGGGCCAGGGAUCCAAUCCGCAGCUUAACCCACGGCACGCCACAGCGGCAACUAGACACCUAUAUUUUUCAAAACAUUUCCCCACACCCCUGUGAGGAGGGCAGUGUUGUACCCAUUUCACAGAGGACUGUGGAGGCUGGAGAGAGAUGGGAGUUGGAGGAUGAGCAAAUGCUUGCCCCCUGGUGGCCCCACUGCCCCACUCAGAGACUGUUGUCUCCUCCGUGCACCGACCUGUUUCCCCUCGCCUUUGCUGAAAAUCAAAUGACAGGAAAGGAGUUCCCUGGUGGCCUGGCAGUUAAGGGCUUGGGUUCCUGCUGGGGUGUGGGUUUGAUCCCUGGCCUGGGAAAUUCUGUAGGCCUCUGGUGUGGCCAAAAAAGAAAAGAAAGCCUGGAUAAGUGACUCUGGGCUCAGUAUUCUGUUCCAUUGAUCCGUGUGUUGGUCCUAUUCCAGUGCUGUGGCCUCAGGGACAGUCACAAAGCCGGGCAGCAGUAAGUUCUCUGACUUCGUUCUGUUGUUCCUCCCUCCCCAGCCCCUGGCCACCACCCUCUGCUUUCUGUCUUUCUGAGUGUGACUCCUCCAGGGACCUCAUCAUAUAAGCAGAAUCCUACAGUCUGUGUCCUUUGGUGACGGGCUCAUUUCACUGAGCAUAAUGUCACAAGGUCUAUCCACAGUGUUGCAGGUGUCAGGAUUUCUAUACCCUUUUUUUUUUUGUCGGGUGCACCUGGGGCACAUGGAAAUUCCUGGGCCAGGGGGGGAACCUGAGCCACAGAAGCCACCCAAGCCACUGCAGUGGCAACACCAGAUCCUUAAGCCACUGCAGUGGCUCAGUGGGAACUCUGACUUCAUUCCUUUUUUUUUUGUCUUUUUGUCCUUUUGCCAUUUCUUGGGCCACUCCCGUGGCAUAUAGAGGUUCUCAGGCUAGGGGUCGAAUCAGAGCUGUAGCCGCUGGCCUACACCAGAGCCACAGAAACUCGGGAUCCGAGCUGUGUCUGCACCCUACACCACAGCUCACGGCAACGCCGGAUCCUUAACCCACUGAGCAAGGCCAGGGAUCGAACCUGCAACCUCAUGGUUCCUAGUUGGAUUCAUUAACCACUGAGUCACGAUGGGAACUUCCUUCCUUUUUAAGGCUGAAUAAUAUUCCAUUGUAUGGAUGUACCACAUUGUGACUCUUUACCCAUCUGGCAAUGGACGCUUGGGUUCCCUCCCCCUUUUGGUUUCUGUGAAUAAACGCUACGGGAAUGUGAGGGUGCAAAUAUCUGUUGAGGUCCCUGCUUUCAGUUCUUUGGGGGCAUACACAUGGAAGCUGAACUGCUAGACCAUAUGGUCAUUCUGUGGGGCGUGGUUUUCGUUUAUUUAUUUAUUUUUUAUUUUUUUGCUUUUUAGGGCCACACCUGCGGCAUAUGGAAGUUCCCAGGCUAGGGGUCGAAUUGGAGCUACAGGUGCUGGCCUACACCACAAACACAGUAAUGCAAAUCUGAGCUGCGUCUGCGACCUACACCACAGCUCAGAGCAAUGCUGGAUCCUUAACCUACAGAGUGAGGCCAGGGAUCAAACCUGCGUCCUCAUGGAUGCUAGUCAGAUUCUCUUCUGCUGAGCCACGACGGGAACUCCCGGGGCGUGGAUUUAGAGAGGAGUCUGUUGUCAGCUUGGCUAAGCGAAAUGAGGGAAGGUCUGCUGGGGGACAUGGUGAAAGUUUUCUUCCGUUUGCAGAAAGAGUUCUCCACAGAGCGCUGCUGGAGUCCGGGAGCCUGGAGUCCGUGAACCUGGACGAGAAAACAGUCACAUCCAUAUCGGCACCAACUAAAUUCAGCAUCGCCCUGCCUUGUGAAUGUGAGCAGCAAAACCCAGUGAGGUCUGUGGUUUUGCCACCAAUGUUAUCAACCACAAACCCCACUGGGUUUCCGAGCGUCCUACCUUUAUUGCAGAAAUUUCAGGACGGCAUUUGGACUCAAAUCACGGUAGUUCUUAAAUCCGCUACUAGAUAUUCUUUUAAAUGUGCUAGGAAGAAGUAGGAGUUCCCCGGUGGCCUAGCUGGUUAGGAAUCCUGCAUUAUCACUGCUGUAGCUGGGUUAGAUUCCUGGCCUGGGAGUGUCUGCAGGCUGCUGGCCAAAAAAAAAAAGAAGAAGAAGGAGAAAAGGAAGAGGAAGAGGAAGAAAAGAAGAAGAGGCAUGUAUAUUAAACAAUAGUUUGACAAAUUUCAGUGCAUUUGGCUUCCUUUAUAAUCCUACGUAUUUUGCUAUUUUGCAUUGUGCAUUUAAAAACAUGAUCCUGGAGUUCCCGUCGUGGCGCAGUGGUUGACGGGUCCGACUAGGAACCAUGAGGUUGCGGGUUCGGUCCCUGCCCUUGCUCAGUGGGUUGGCGAUCCGGCGUUCCCGACAGUGACCCAAGCCACCGCAGUGAAAAUGCUGGAUCCUUAACCUGCUGCACC